rnacentral:rRNA from 1 species
GACGUAGGGCGCGAGCGUUGUCCGGAUUUAUUGGGCGUAAAGAGCUCGUAGGCGGCUUGUCGCGUCGUUCGUGAAAACCCGGGGCUCAACUCCGGGCUUGCGGGCGAUACGGGCAGGCUAGAGUUCGGUAGGGGAGACUGGAAUUCCUGGUGUAGCGGUGAAAUGCGCAGAUAUCUGGAGGAACACCGGUGGCGAAGGCGGCAUCCUGGACCGACACUGACGCUGAGGAGCGAAAGCCAGGGGAGCAAACGGG